GUUAGAAAUAUUUGUGUUUGCGGAGGGAAAUCAGAGUGCAGGUUUGGUUUUGAAGAAAGAAGGAAUGCAAAGGAUGUUCAAAAUCCAUAAACAUGCUUUUCUGUAGAGGAUGAGAUUGGUGAUGGGAUGUAUAGCAGUUGGUGCAAUACGGAAACAUAUUGGCAAAUAAAUAAAAUCUCCCUAAAAAUGAAUAAUGCAGGUGCAUACACAAUACGAAAGUAUUAUUUACAAACUAUACAGUAAUUAACAGUUACAAGGCAUACACUACUAAUAGUUGCAAAAGUAUAGUAGGAUAUUGAGGAAGAUGGGUAAAACGGCAUGUGGUUUCUCUCUUGAGUGAAG